AGGACAUAAAAGGAUGGUUGAUGAUGGUGUUCUUCCAAAAAUGGUUUACGGCACCAUUCCAAGACCCUCAGCUGAUGUAGAAUGAAGAUAUGAUACUUCCAUCUGAGAUUCUAAAUAUUUGCUUCCACUGUUACGGGCACAAUGAGGAAACAGGAACCAAGUCUAUCUCAGCCAGAUGGAAUUCAGUCUCAUGCUGUUGAUUUUAAUCUGAUCCUCGUGCAAACCAACUGAUUUGAAGCUGAGAAGGAUCUACAUGAAGAUUGCAGAAGGUAAUCCCUUGUGGAAGUAUGAAUGGGAUGCUCAGAAGAUGUUGAAACUCUCUGGACUAACUUUGCUGCUGCUGUUGCUGGUCAGCUGCUCAGCCAUUUCCAGCAGAAUAGCUAGACUGGCCAGAGAAGGAGAUUGAAAACUUGAUACCCUUGAUGCCAAUUCAGGACGAAAGCUUCUGGCAGCAAACAGGGGUAAAAUUGCAAGAUCCAUGUAACUGGAAAGGAGGGGAGACCAGUAUUCUUCCAAUUAUAGAGUCAUAGAGUCAUAGAGAUGGAAACAGACCCUUCGGUCCA